AUUGAACGCUGGCGGAAUGCUUUACACAUGCAAGUCGAACGGCAGCACGGACUUCGGUCUGGUGGCGAGUGGCGAACGGGUGAGUAAUGUAUCGGAACGUGCCCAGUCGUGGGGGAUAACGUAGUGAAAAUUACGCUAAUACCGCAUACGAUCUAUGGAUGAAAGCGGGGGAUCGCAAGACCUCGCGCGAUUGGAGCGGCCGAUAUCAGAUUAGGUAGUUGGUGGGGUAAAGGCCCACCAAGCCAACGAUCUGUAGCUGGUCUGCGAGGACGACCAUGCACACUGGAACUGAGACACGGUCCAGACUCCUACGGGAGGCAGCAGUGGGGAAUUUUGGACAAUGGGCGAAAGCCUGAUCCAGCCAUUCCGCGUGCAGGAUGAAGGCCCUCGGGUUGUAAACUGCUUUUGUACAGAACGAAAAGGUUUCUACUAAUACUAGGAGCUCAUGACGGUACUGUAAGAAUAAGCACCGGCUAACUACGUGCCAGCCGCCGCCGUAA
rnacentral:rRNA from 1 species